UACGGAAGGCAGCAGUGGGGAAUAUUGCACAAUGGGCGAAAGCCUGAUGCAGCUAUGCCGCGUGUAUGAAGAAGGCCUUAGGGUUGUAAAGUACUUUCAUCGGGGAGGAAAAAACAAAACUAAUAAUUUUAUUUCUUGACGUUACCCGAAAAAGAAGCACCGGCUAACUCCGUGCCAGCAGCCGCGGUAAUACGGAGGGUGCUAGCGUUAAUCAGAAUUACUGGGCGUAAAGAGCACGUAGGUGGUUUUUUUAAGUCAGAUGUGAAAUCCCUGGGCUUUAACCUAGGAACUGCAUUUUGAAACUGAAAUACUAGAGUAUCGUAGAGGGAGGUAGAAUUCUAGGUGUAGCGGUGAAAUGCGUAGAUAUCUGGAGGAAUACCUGUGGCGAAAGCGGCCUCCUAAACGAAUACUGACACUGAGGGUGCGAAAGCGUGGGGAGCAAACAGGGAUUAGAUACC
rnacentral:rRNA from 1 species